rnacentral:lncRNA from 1 species
UUUAAUUUCCUUCCAUUUCCCCUUCAUUUCCUUCCAUUUCCCUUUAAUUUCCUUCUAUUUCCCUUUAAUUUCCUUCCAUUUCCCCUUCAUUUCCUCUCAUUUCUCCUUCCUUUCCAUCUAUUUCCCCUUCAUUUCCUUCCGUUUCCCUUUAAUUUCCUUCCAUUUCCCUUUAAUUUCCUUCCAUUUCCUCUUAAUUUCCUUCCAUUUCCCUUUAAUUUCCUUCCAUUUCCUCCAUCAUUUCCUUCCCUUUUCCCCCAUUUCCUUCCCUUUUCCCCUCCAUUUUCCUCACUUUCUUCCCCUUUCUGUCCUUUUCCCCCUCCACUUCCUUCACUUUUCCCCCAUUUCUUCCCUUUCACCCCCUUUUCCUUCAAUUUUCCCCAUUUCCUUCCUUUUCCCCUCCACUUCCUUCCCUUUUUCCCCAUUUCCUCCCCUUUUCCCUCAAUUUUCCCCACUUUCCCCCCUAUUUCCCCUCUAUUUUCAUCACUUUUCCCCCAUUUCCUUCCUGUUUCCCCUCCACUUCCUUCCCUUUUCCCCCAUUUCCUUCCCUUUUCCAUUCAAUUUUCCUCACUUUAUCCCCAUUUCCUUCCUGUUUCCCCUCUAUUUCUUCCCUUUCCCCCCUUUUCCUUCACUUUUCCCCAUUUCCUUCCUUUUUCCCCUCCAUUUUCUUCACUUUUCCCCAUUUCCUUCCCUUUUCCCCUCAGUUUUCCUCACUUUU